rnacentral:tRNA from 1 species
GAGAAAUUGGCUCAGUGGUAGAGUGCUUGCCUCGCAUGCAUGAGGUCCUGGGUUCAUUCCUCA